AUGGAGAGACUUGUUAAUGUUCAUUACAUGGACAAGGAGGCAUUCUUGAGUAACAAUGCCGACACGGGUGAGGAACCAUUGGUUUUUGAUACAAGCCCUAGCUAUGAGGAUAUUGUUGCAAAAGUGAGACAAGUCUUAGAGUGGAUGGACACCAAUGUUGAUGUUAAGUUAAUAGGAAGGUAUGAUGUUGGAGUUGGAGCCAAAUCUCGCUUGAAAAGUAUGCCUAUCACCUCGGAUUUGCAUUGGGAUGUAUACAAGGAAAAAGUAUCCCAAUCGGAAGACAAGUCACUUGAAUUGUUUGCCACCAAGGUUGAAUCUCCUCGGUUUACCAUUGAUUUGAACCGGCAUGUCUCUUUCCCAAUGGAUGACAUGAGCGUUGAGUUGUAUGCCCCCAAUGCUUCUAGCCAACCACCAACUAGCCAA
rnacentral:rRNA from 1 species